rnacentral:rRNA from 1 species
GAUGGGGGAUGCAAGUGUUAUCCGGAAUCACUGGGCGUAAAGCGUCUGCAGGUGGUUUCCUAAGUCCACUGUUAAACCUUGAGGCUCAACCUCAAAUCUGCAUUGGAAACUAGGAGACUUGAGUAUAGUAGGGGUAGAGGGAAUUUCCAGUGGAGCGGUGAAAUGCGUAGAUAUUGGAAAGAACACCGAUGGCGAAGGCACUCUACUGGGCUAUUACUGACACUCAGAGACGAAAGCUAGGGGAGCAAAUGGG